CCCAUUUUUUGGUUUCGUCGCAAUUUUUUUCGUUUCGUCUCUCAGCUACACAAAUGUUUCCUACUGGGACUCUCUCUCCCAACACUUAUUAGGACUCUCUCUCCCUCCCUCUCUGGCUCUCUCCCCUUUAAACCAUCAGAAGUAUCUCAAUUGAUAUAGAAGUGUCGAAUUUAUCUUCAAACUCACUGAUGGUGGCAUAACUGACUCUAACUAUGUGGACGGGAUCGAGGUAGCCGCGGACAAUAAUGGAUUUACGGAUUUUAGAAGACCAUCGGGUAUUAAUAAUUAUGAUUUAAUUAAUCGCGUAACUACAAAAGGUUCGGAUGUGUGUGCUGAGCUCCGUGACGGGUUAGUAGAAGGGACUGAUUAUAUAUUGCUUCCAAAAGCAGUUUGGAAUCAGUUACAUGCUUGGGAGGCUUCAACUGUACUCAAAAUUGAGGGCACCGAUAGAGCAGAUGAGCUGAUGAAGAAAGUUUAGUUUAUUUACAGAACAGGAUUCAUUCGGCUUUCGAUAGGCCGUUAACAAUGUGGGAAAAGUAUUGUUUGCACCAUUGUUUUGCUUUUCUGCUAGGAUUCACGCUGCCCGCAAAUGGUCACAGGGUUAUCUCUUUACAUCAUACAAAGGAACUUGCUCCAUUCAGAUUCUUUUGAAGGUACAAAUGUCUAACAGAGGUAAGUUUCAAUAUUAUAUUAUUUUUUUCAUGUUUAUAUUAUAAUAUAGACAGGGUUAUCUUUUGGUCCAUCAUGGCUCUCCCUAAGAUAUUGAAUUUUUAUCUUGUUUAUCAAAAAAAAAAAAUUGAUACAAAUUAAUAUUUACAGUUGUGUAGUUAAAUGUUUCUUUACUUAUUGAAAAUAUCUGCCUGUUCUUGUGUAUUUUUUUCCCAAAUCUUAGUUUACUUUUUCAAUCAGCUAACUAAUGUCAUGUAGUAAAUAGUAACUUUACAAAGCCACUUUAUAGAUAUGACAAUCCUUUAACUGAUAAGUUAUCAUCUCAGCUUCUGUGAGACUGUGACUUUGAACUCAUUCAAAUGCUUUUACUUAGUCUGGUUUUGCACAUUUCAUUCCUCUAGAGCCUAUUGAACAUAUAUUCUUAUGUAGAAGCAAGGUAUAUUACUUUUUUGCUACUAAAAUUUAAUUAUGAUUUAAUAAAAUAUUAUGCAGUUAUUGAGUUUUUGGGCGAAGCAGGUAGCUGCAUUACAACUCUAUCCAUCCGGAGGGAGGUUAGUAAUGGACCUGAGUUUAUAUAUACUAUAUACUUUUAGACAGUAUAAGUAUAAUUUCUAGGUUUUGUACUUUGACAGAUAAAGAUCUAAAUAUGUUACUUAAAAUUAGCAGAUUGCUAUAGUUGUUCAACAUAUAUAAUUAUCGCCAAGUUUCUCUUUAGCGAUGUUUGGAAAGAUCCCAGGUCUGCGACUACAUCUGUGAUACUAUAUAUUUUGAAUUAUGUAGUGAACCAUGUAAAGUGUACAUCUGUGAUACAUCGUUUUGAUACACUGAGACUGCAGCCACUUGGUGAUAUUUAUCAAGGGGAACAUUUCGUGAAUUCACUUAAGGAUGAAGUCAAUAUCAUAAAGGUGAGCCCUUCUCAUUUGCAUUCUCUGGACAUGGAAGCAAUUGGUAGUCUAAUACGGAAUUCCUCUAUUAAAGCUUUACCUUUUAAGACCUAUAGUGAACCUGAAUCUUGAUUAAACUCUUUUAACUCACUUUAGAUCACCGAUGCGGAUAUUCCUAAGGAAGCAACAUCUCUUAAUUAUCUUAAUAUAGUUAUACUUUCUCUUGCAAUUGCUUGGAUUCAGGAACCGACUAGGCUUCGACCCAUUACCAUAUGAUUUCCAAGUAGAUAACAUUGUUCUACGAUCUAUAUAUAUUUAUAAUCAUAAUGUACUCCUGUCAUGUGGAUAAUAGAUGUUCAUAAUUUA